UUUAUAUUAAAACCGAAAACUUUAAUGUUUUUAUUGCAUAUUUUACAUAAAGCCCAUAAACUUCAAUGUAUUCCAAUGGGACGUUUACACGAAAACCAACAAUUUUCAUGUAUUUUAUUGCAUAAAAAGCCUUCAAAUGUGUUUUUUGUCAAAAGUUUUACAUAAAAACAAAAAACUUCGAUGUAUUUUACAUGAAAAUGGUCUCAGGACAACAUUAUCGUUUAUCUCAAUAACUUCAGUAACAAUUUGUUUGUUAUAUUUUCCUCAUUUGUAACCUUAUCUGUUCUUUUAUCUGAAUUAGUUUUCUAUCUUUAUCGCUCUGCUGAGUUUCUCCACCUGUUUCUGAGCUGCAGCUUCUCUCCCUCCUUUCUUCGCUGCUUUACGAGCGAAACUGUUUAGUGCUCAGAGUUUGAAGGCACUCGAGGUCAUAGAGGAGACGGAGGGAAGGGGCGGGGGGCCGGAUGAGCGCCGCGCCGCGCCGGUCGGCCGGUCAGGUGCGGCGCCACCAGUGAUCAUUAGGGUUACAGCUGCCCGGCCCAGAUUGUGUGCUGCCUGCACCAGGCGAGAUGUUCUGCCCAGGGAGAGGAGCGAGCAUCUGUCUGUCCCUCCCCGUAGACAGCCGCCUCCUACCAGCCUGUCCAACUCAACCCAACUGGUAACAAGGUCACCCAACUCUUACUUUCCCUCACUUACACACACACACACACGCCCACACACACACACACACAUCCACUCUGCAUUUCACUUCCUGUUUUGCUCCUUCGCAGAACGGCCAUGCAGAAAAAGGUGUGUGAAAUGUAACGUGUCGUUCACACCAGCCCUGUUCAGUCCGCUUUGAUCCAACUACAGAAGUGGACUACAGCGCAAGGCAUUCUGGUGGUUCUUGGUGCAGCGCCCCCACAGGCCAGGAGGGGAACAGAAAUAUCCUGGCCUGUCAAAGGAAGCACAGUGGGUCGCCUUUAAUCACGCAACUGUUAUCUCGCGGCGAGCCAGAUUUGGCCCCCGGACCUCGAGUUUGACACCAGCUGUAAAGCGUGCAGAGGAAUGAUGAAGGCGCGUCGGUCGGUGUGAAGUUAGGAAACCUGAACAGCAACAGAGAUUCAAAGUGGAAGACAGAAAAAAAACCCGGGCUGAAAAUCGGUGUCACAAACUGGCCGAGCCCCGGCUGGUCCGCAGCGCCACCUAACAUCCCCGCAUGAAUAUUCAUGCGGACGGAUUUCUCUUUUGUUGCCUGCCUAGUCAGCAGUCACCGAACACAUGGUGAGUGUUGGCAGCGCCCGGCCUAGGUAGAGGGGCCGUGGACGGAGGCAGUGGCAGGAACCAGGACCUGUGAGGCUGACUGACAUUUCCAUCUGUGGCGAGGCCUGGUAAUUAUCGGGGAGAGGAGCGCCCGCAGCAGCGCGCCAUCUGCUAGGGGAGAUGGCUCAAUGAGGUAUGAGCACGAGCGGCUCUCCGUCGGGCCACUGCCUGCCUCUGACAUGAGGGCUCGCAUCUGCUACCGAGGAGCCGGGCCGCCCAACACAGCCUGUCUGCCUGGCCGGGAGAGGGGGCUGACAGGAGGGAGGAGAGCAGCCAACAGCCCCCCUGACCCGCGCCGCCCUCCGCCCCCUCGCCGCCGCUGCCCUGCCAAAGGAACACUUGACAAACAGCACAGCCCACUCACAAGUUUUCAUACAGAUCUCAUCGAGUUGUUGGGGUUUUCUGUAAACGGCGCCGCAGAGAUCCGGUUCUGGCUCGGUGUUAUGGUUUGUUUUCUGACUCAUUCGGCUCGCUAAGACUGCGGAUCACACACCUGGCGAGUGUGUGGGUGUUUAUGUGUGUGUGUCCUUGUUCUUUCUGUUUGAGCCCAGUAUGGCGAGUCCAACUGGGUGCUGCUGAUAUUACAUUCAGCCCACAGACUCGCUCUCAGAUCCGCACACCAACAUCCCACAGUAACGGUACGGAGCUGCAGGAUGCAGAAAAACACAGCUGUGAGCAAGACUCCACUUUACAGCCAUGUGUGUUUUCAAUAAAUUCCCUCUAAAUAAAAUAGAUUUCAUCUAGUCACACCCUGGAA